rnacentral:rRNA from 1 species
GUAGGGGGCAAGCGUUAUCCGGAUUUACUGGGUGUAAAGGGAGCGUAGACGGCAGCACAAGUCUGAAGUGAAAUGCCGGGGCUUAACCCCGGAACUGCUUUGGGAACUGUUUUGCUGGAGUAUGGGAGGGGUAAGCGGAAUUCCUGGUGUAGCGGUGAAAUGCGUAGAUAUCAGGAGGAACACCGGUGGCGAAGGCGGCUUACUGGACCAUAACUGACGUUGAGGCUCGAAAGCGUGGGGAGCG